ACUUCUUUGAUGGGGCACAGUUGGAACGACUGCUAAUACCGAAUGUGCCUUAGGGUGAAAGAUUUAUUGUCUAGAGAUUGGCUCGCGUCAGAUUAGCUAGUUGGAGUGGUAACGGCACACCAAGGCGACGAUCUGUACUUGGUCUGAGAGGAUGACCAGGCACACUGGAACUGAGACACGGUCCAGACUCCUACGGGAGGCAGCAGUGGGGAAUUUUCCGCAAUGGGCGAAAGCCUGACGGAGCAAUACCGCGUGAGGGAGGACGGCUUUUGGGUUGUAAACCUCUUUUAUCAGGGAAGAAUCGAUGACGGUACCUGAUGAAUCAGCAUCGGCUAACUCCGUGCCAGCAGCCGCGGUAAUACGGAGGAUGCAAGCGUUAUCCGGAAUUAUUGGGCGUAAAGCGUCCGUAGGUGGUUUAUCAAGUCUGCUGUCAAAGCGUGCGGCUUAACCGCAUAAGGGCAGUGGAAACUGAUGAACUAGAGUGCGAUAGGGGUAACAGGAAUUCCCAGUGUAGCGGUGAAAUGCGUAGAUAUUGGGAAGAACACCAGCGGCGAAAGCGUGUUACUGGGUCUGCACUGACACUGAGGGACGAAAGCUAGGGGAGCGAAAGGGAUUAGAUACCCCUUGGUAGUCAA
rnacentral:rRNA from 1 species